rnacentral:lncRNA from 1 species
CCGGUCGGUUCCCGCGCGCUCCCAGCUCCGUGCCCGCGAGCGACGACUGGAAGGGCUGUCCUUGCUCAGCGGCUUUUGGUGAUCUCUCCGCCCUAGAAGAGGGCCACCUAAAAGCGGGUGCGAGAGGAGAGUGGGAGGGCCUCCUCUUGGUGUCCCCAGGCCACCUCAGCCCGGAGAGGUGGCGGAAAACCAGACUUGAUGCUUUAACACGUUCAUAGCAAUCGCUUUUUACUGAAAGGAGUUUCUGUAUUUAGCGCUGUGUAAUUCUGUGGAAACGUGCAUUUCUUGUCUUUGCGGGAGAGCUGUUCUCUGUGGGCGGAGACCUUCAGUCCCACCCCUCCCCAGGAGGCGCCUGCGGACCCUUCCCAACCUGCAGUCAAGUUGACCAAGAACUGACUGCAAGGUGCUGGUGGCUCUGGGAUGAGAGCCUUUUGGUACUUACAGGGAAUAUGACUCUUCCCUUAGAUAUCAAAUGGACCCAAUAUCUAGGGAGCAGCUUCUUCUCCAUCCAUCUGACCGUUCCGUUGUGAGAAUGCUGGCCCAAUAACAUACUCUUUUUUUUUCCCCUAAAGGAAUAAAAAAAUCUGUAUUUUUA